rnacentral:rRNA from 1 species
GGUUAAGCGACUAAGCGUACACGGUGGAUGCCCUGGCAGUCAGAGGCGAUGAAGGACGUGCUAAUCUGCGAUAAGCGUCGGUAAGGUGAUAUGAACCGUUAUAACCGGCGAUUUCCGAAUGGGGAAACCCAGUGUGUUUCGACACACUAUCAUUAACUGAAUCCAUAGGUUAAUGAGGCGAACCGGGGGAACUGAAACAUCUAAGUACCCCGAGGAAAAGAAAUCAACCGAGAUUCCCCCAGUAGCGGCGAGCGAACGGGGAGCAGCCCAGAGCCUGAAUCAGUGUGUGUGUUAGUGGAAGCGUCUGGAAAGGCGCGCGAUACAGGGUGACAGCCCCGUACACAAAAAUGCACAUGCUGUGAGCUCGAUGAGUAGGGCGGGACACGUGGUAUCCUGUCUGAAUAUGGGGGGACCAUCCUCCAAGGCUAAAUACUCCUGACUGACCGAUAGUGAACCAGUACCGUGAGGGAAAGGCGAAAAGAACCCCGGCGAGGGGAGUGAAAAAGAACCUGAAACCGUGUACGUACAAGCAGUGGGAGCACGCUUAGGCGUGUGACUGCGUACCUUUUGUAUAAUGGGUCAGCGACUUAUAUUCUGUAGCAAGGUUAACCGAAUAGGGGAGCCGAAGGGAAACCGAGUCUUAACUGGGCGUUAAGUUGCAGGGUAUAGACCCGAAACCCGGUGAUCUAGCCAUGGGCAGGUUGAAGGUUGGGUAACACUAACUGGAGGACCGAACCGACUAAUGUUGAAAAAUUAGCGGAUGACUUGUGGCUGGGGGUGAAAGGCCAAUCAAACCGGGAGAUAGCUGGUUCUCCCCGAAAGCUAUUUAGGUAGCGCCUCGUGAAUUCAUCUCCGGGGGUAGAGCACUGUUUCGGCAAGGGGGUCAUCCCGACUUACCAACCCGAUGCAAACUGCGAAUACCGGAGAAUGUUAUCACGGGAGACACACGGCGGGUGCUAACGUCCGUCGUGAAGAGGGAAACAACCCAGACCGCCAGCUAAGGUCCCAAAGUCAUGGUUAAGUGGGAAACGAUGUGGGAAGGCCCAGACAGCCAGGAUGUUGGCUUAGAAGCAGCCAUCAUUUAAAGAAAGCGUAAUAGCUCACUGGUCGAGUCGGCCUGCGCGGAAGAUGUAACGGGGCUAAACCAUGCACCGAAGCUGCGGCAGCGACACUAUGUGUUGUUGGGUAGGGGAGCGUUCUGUAAGCCUGUGAAGGUGUGCUGUGAGGCAUGCUGGAGGUAUCAGAAGUGCGAAUGCUGACAUAAGUAACGAUAAAGCGGGUGAAAAGCCCGCUCGCCGGAAGACCAAGGGUUCCUGUCCAACGUUAAUCGGGGCAGGGUGAGUCGACCCCUAAGGCGAGGCCGAAAGGCGUAGUCGAUGGGAAACAGGUUAAUAUUCCUGUACUUGGUGUUACUGCGAAGGGGGGACGGAGAAGGCUAUGUUGGCCGGGCGACGGUUGUCCCGGUUUAAGCGUGUAGGCUGGUUUUCCAGGCAAAUCCGGAAAAUCAAGGCUGAGGCGUGAUGACGAGGCACUACGGUGCUGAAGCAACAAAUGCCCUGCUUCCAGGAAAAGCCUCUAAGCAUCAGGUAACAUCAAAUCGUACCCCAAACCGACACAGGUGGUCAGGUAGAGAAUACCAAGGCGCUUGAGAGAACUCGGGUGAAGGAACUAGGCAAAAUGGUGCCGUAACUUCGGGAGAAGGCACGCUGAUAUGUAGGUGAAGUCCCUCGCGGAUGGAGCUGAAAUCAGUCGAAGAUACCAGCUGGCUGCAACUGUUUAUUAAAAACACAGCACUGUGCAAACACGAAAGUGGACGUAUACGGUGUGACGCCUGCCCGGUGCCGGAAGGUUAAUUGAUGGGGUUAGCCGCAAGGCGAAGCUCUUGAUCGAAGCCCCGGUAAACGGCGGCCGUAACUAUAACGGUCCUAAGGUAGCGAAAUUCCUUGUCGGGUAAGUUCCGACCUGCACGAAUGGCGUAAUGAUGGCCAGGCUGUCUCCACCCGAGACUCAGUGAAAUUGAACUCGCUGUGAAGAUGCAGUGUACCCGCGGCAAGACGGAAAGACCCCGUGAACCUUUACUAUAGCUUGACACUGAACAUUGAGCCUUGAUGUGUAGGAUAGGUGGGAGGCUUAGAAGUGUGGACGCCAGUCUGCAUGGAGCCGACCUUGAAAUACCACCCUUUAAUGUUUGAUGUUCUAACGUUGACCCGUAAUCCGGGUUGCGGACAGUGUCUGGUGGGUAGUUUGACUGGGGCGGUCUCCUCCUAAAGAGUAACGGAGGAGCACGAAGGUUGGCUAAUCCUGGUCGGACAUCAGGAGGUUAGUGCAAUGGCAUAAGCCAGCUUGACUGCGAGCGUGACGGCGCGAGCAGGUGCGAAAGCAGGUCAUAGUGAUCCGGUGGUUCUGAAUGGAAGGGCCAUCGCUCAACGGAUAAAAGGUACUCCGGGGAUAACAGGCUGAUACCGCCCAAGAGUUCAUAUCGACGGCGGUGUUUGGCACCUCGAUGUCGGCUCAUCACAUCCUGGGGCUGAAGUAGGUCCCAAGGGUAUGGCUGUUCGCCAUUUAAAGUGGUACGCGAGCUGGGUUUAGAACGUCGUGAGACAGUUCGGUCCCUAUCUGCCGUGGGCGCUGGAGAACUGAGGGGGGCUGCUCCUAGUACGAGAGGACCGGAGUGGACGCAUCACUGGUGUUCGGGUUGUCAUGCCAAUGGCACUGCCCGGUAGCUAAAUGCGGAAGAGAUAAGUGCUGAAAGCAUCUAAGCACGAAACUUGCCCCGAGAUGAGUUCUCCCUGACCCUUUAAGGGUCCUGAAGGAACGUUGAAGACGACGACGUUGAUAGGCCGGGUGUGUAAGCGCAGCGAUGCGUUGAGCUAACCGGUACUAAUGAACCGUGAGGCUUAACCUU